GCUGCAUACUUGGUUUAUAAAUGCCUUAUGUAACAAACUUUAUACAAAAAAAAGAAGAUUUGGUGUAAUUGCCAAUGAGACCAACUCUAAACAAGAGACCAAAUGACACAGAAAUUAACAACUAUAGGUCACCAAACAGCCUUCAACAAUGAGCAAAGCCAAUACCGCAUAGUCAGCUAUAAAAGGCCCCGAAAUGACAAAUGUAAAACAAUUCAAUCGACAAAACUAAC
rnacentral:lncRNA from 1 species